rnacentral:rRNA from 1 species
UACGUAGGGUGCGAGCGUUGUCCGGAAUUAUUGGGCGUAAAGAGCUCGUAGGCGGUGUGUCACGUCGAUCGUGAAAACUUGGGGCUUAACCCUGAGCUUGCGGUCGAUACGGGCAUCACUGGAGUUCGGCAGGGGAGACUGGAAUUCCUGGUGUAGCGGUGAAAUGCGCAGAUAUCAGGAGGAACACCGGUGGCGAAGGCGGGUCUCUGAGCCGAUACUGACGCUGAGGAGCGAAAGCGUGGGUAGCGAACAGG